UCCGUAGGUGAACCUGCGGAAGGAUCAUUACCGAGUGAGGGCCCUCUGGGUCCAACCUCCCACCCGUGUUUAUCGUACCUUGUUGCUUCGGCGGGCCCGCCGCAAGGCCGCCGGGGGGCAUCUGCCCUCUGGCCCGCGCCCGCCGAAGACACCAUUGAACGCUGUCUGAAGAUUGCAGUCUGAGCAAUUAGUUAAAUAACUUAAAACUUUCAACAACGGAUCUCUUGGUUCCGGCAUCGAUGAAGAACGCAGCGAAAUGCGAUACGUAAUGUGAAUUGCAGAAUUCAGUGAAUCAUCGAGUCUUUGAACGCACAUUGCGCCCCCUGGUAUUCCGGGGGGCAUGCCUGUCCGAGCGUCAUUGCUGCCCUCAAGCACGGCUUGUGUGUUGGGCUCCGUCCUCCUUCCGGGGGACGGGCCCGAAAGGCAGCGGCGGCACCGCGUCCGGUCCUCGAGCGUAUGGGGCUUCGUCACCCGCUCUGUAGGCCCGGCCGGCGCUUGCCGACACAUCAAUCUUUUUUCCAGGUUGACCUCGGAUCAGGUAGGGAUACCCGCUGAACUUAAGCAUAUCAAUAAGCGGAGGA
rnacentral:rRNA from 1 species